rnacentral:rRNA from 1 species
AACACAUGCAAGUCGGACGCUUGCCCGGUUUCGGCCGGGCAGGAGUGGCGCACGGGUGAGUAGCGCGUGGGAACCUGCCCUGUUGUGGGGGAUAACCGAGGGAAACUUCGGCUAAUACCGCAUGCGCCCCCGGACUUGAUCCGGGGGGAAAGAUUUAUCGCAGCAGGAGGGGCCCGCGUCGGAUUAGCUGGUUGGUGGGGUAACGGCCUACCAAGGCGAUGAUCCGUAGCUGGUCUGAGAGGAUGAUCAGCCACACUGGGACUGAGACACGGCCCAGACUCCUACGGGAGGCAGCAGUGGGGAAUAUUGGACAAUGGGCGCAAGCCUGAUCCAGCAAUACCGCGUGAGUGAUGAAGGCCUUCGGGUUGUAAAGCUCUUUCGCCCGCGACGAUGAUGACGGUAGCGGGAGAAGAAACCCCGGCUAACUUCGUGCCAGCAGCCGCGGUAGUACGAAGGGGGCGAGCGUUGUUCGGAUCUACUGGGCGUAAAGGGCGCGUAGGCGGCCCUCU